AAUCCACCAGAGCUCGCCACGCCUACAGCACACACACAGUCUACCGGGCCCCAGAAGUCAACCAUACUUCUCUUUCUUCUUCCUUGAGCUGCUUUCUGUUCCUCAACGUCUUGUCCGUCUUUUAUUUUUGUAGUUUGUUUGUUGAAUUCAGACAGGAAUGGCAGAGCUGGAAGGCCUGGAGUUUGGGAAGUCAGACUUUGUGCUGCUGGAUGAGGUGACGAUGGAGCAGUUUAUGGAAAAUCUGAAGUUGAGAUUUGAGAAGGGCCGUAUCUACACCUACAUUGGAGAAGUAGUCGUCUCCGUUAAUCCGUACAGACAGAUGGACAUUUACGGCAAAGAUACCAUUGAUGCGUACAGGGGCCGGGAGCUGUACGAAAACCCUCCUCACCUGUACGCCGUGUCUGAUGCUGCCUACAAGGCCAUGAAGAGACGGGCCAAAGAUACCUGCAUCGUCAUAUCAGGUGAAAGUGGGGCAGGAAAAACAGAAGCUAGUAAAUACAUCAUGCAGUACAUUGCGGCCAUCACAAACCCAGGCCAGAGGGCCGAGGUUGAGAGUGUGAAGAAUGUCCUGCUCAAAUCCAACUGUGUGCUGGAAGCCUUUGGGAACGCCAAGACAAAUCGCAACGACAACUCUAGCCGCUUCGGCAAGUACAUGGACAUCAACUUCAACUUCAAUGGGGAACCUACCGGAGGACACAUCAACAACUACCUGCUGGAGAAGUCCAGGGUAGUCCAGCAGCAAGACGGGGAGAGGAACUUCCACUCAUUCUACCAGUUACUCCGUGGAGGUGCAGAGGAGAUGCUGGAGUCAUUUCAUCUGCAGAAUGAUCCUGCUGUUUAUAUUUAUACCAGAGAGGGAGCUGCAACUGUUACCUCCAACAAUGAUCGCUCAAGCCACAAAGCAGUGAUGAGUGCCCUGGGAGUGAUCGGCUUCUCUGGAGAGGAAAUUAACUCAAUUUAUCAGAUACUGGCCUCCAUUCUUCUGUUGGGAAAUGUGCAGUUUGAGACUGAUGGUGAGUGCGUUCAGAUCCUGGGACUCGAAGCUAUCAACCACAUCGCUGAGCUGACGGCCACAGAGGCGGACAGUGUUAUCAAGAGCCUGCUGUUCCGCACUGUGGCCACCGGGGGCGGCGAGGUCAUCGAGAAGGGACACACGGAGCAGGACGCCUGCUUUGGGCGAGAUGCUUUCGCCAAGGCUCUUUAUGAGAGACUUUUUUGCUGGAUUGUAAACCGCAUCAACAGUGUCAUUGAAGUUAAAGACUACAACCCAGUGCUUCAUGGGAAAAACACAGUCAUCGGCGUGCUGGAUAUCUACGGCUUCGAGAUCUUUGAAAACAACAGUUUUGAACAGUUCUGCAUCAACUACUGCAACGAGAAGCUGCAGCAACUCUUUAUCGAGCUGAUCCUCAGACAGGAACAAGGUGAAUACCAGAGAGAGGGCAUCACCUGGCAACAUAUUGAUUACUUCAACAAUCAGAUCAUUGUGGACCUUGUGGAGCAGCCCCACAAAGGAAUCAUCUCCAUUUUGGACGAAGCUUGCCUCACUGUUGGCAAAGUCACCGACACAGUCUGCCUGGAGAGCAUGGACACCAAACUGGCCCAGCACCCCCACUACACGUCCCGCAAGCUCAGCCCCACAGACAAAACCAUGGACUUUCAGAAACACUUCCGUAUUCGCCACUAUGCUGGAGACGUCACAUAUUCCGUCGAGGGCUUUUUGGACAAAAACAAGGACCUGCUUUUCCAAGAUUUCAAACGUCUCAUGUACAACAGUGCCGACCCAGUUCUGAAGGAGAUGUGGCCAGAUGGUCAGCUGAGCAUCACAGAAGUCACCAAGCGACCAUUGACCGCGGCCACCCUCUUCAAGAACUCCAUUGUGGCCUUGGUGGAUAAACUGGGCUGCAAGGAGCCUUACUAUGUGCGGUGCAUAAAGCCCAACGAGAUGAAGUCUCCUGUGUUGUUUGACGACGCUCGCUGCCAGCACCAGGUGGCCUACCUCGGCCUGAUGGAGAAUGUGAUGGUGCGCAGAGCGGGCUUUGCCUACAGGCAGCAUUACGCUCGCGUCCUGCAGCGGUAUAAAAUGACGUGUGAGUACACCUGGCCAAACCACCUGAUGGCCUCGGACAGAGAGGCCGUGGAGGCCAUUGUCACCCAGCAUGGUUUCCAGGACGAUGUGGCGUACGGACACACCAAGCUGUUUGUCAGAACACCGCGGUCUCUGUAUACUCUGGAGCAGGAGAGAGCCGCCCUCAUCCCUAUCCUGGUUCUUUUCCUGCAGAAGGUGUGGCGUGGGGCUUUGGCUCGUAUGAGGUGCCGGCGGAUGAGGGCCAUCUAUGCCAUCAUGGGCUGCUAUAAGCGCUACAAGGUGAAGGCCCACUUCUGGGAGGUGGAGAGGAGGUUCGCCAAUGUGCGGACCAUGGCCGACUACGGAAAGAGCGUGGAGUGGCCGAGCCCGCUUGCAGCUCUGUCCGACUUUCAUAAGAACACCGUCAUGCUGCAUCGCAGGUGGUGGGCGAGGCAGAUCGUGAAGAACAUCCCUCCGUCUGACAUGCUGGAGGUUCGGGCCAAAGUGGCAGCUCUGACUGCUCUGAGCGGAGAGAGGAAAGACUGGGGAGUCAGCAGAGCCUGGGAGAGGGACUACCUGGCCAAUGCUCGAGACUCCCCUCAGACCAGCUCCAGCUUCAGCCGUUUUUCCAAGGACCUGAGGAACAAAGACAUGUACAGUCAGGUCCUCUUCUCUGGCUUCUGUAGAAAGGUGAAUAGAUUCAACAAAAGCACAGACCGAGGACUGCUCAUCACAGACAAGUGUGUCUACAAAUUAGAGCCAAACAAACAGUACAAGGUUUUGAAGAGGCUUCCCUUAGACAUUUUCACGGGACUGAGUGUGACCAGCGAGGCUGACCAGAUGGUGGCGCUACACACAUCCUCGCAUGAUGAUGUCCUGCUGUGUUUGCAGCGAGGGGAGCUGUGCACCAACCAGGACCGAGUGGGGGAGCUGGUGGGAGCGUUGGUGGACCACUUCACACGUAUAAGAAAAGUCCGCUUUCCCGUGAAGGUUUGCCGUUCAACCGUGCAGGUUCACAUGCGUGGAAAACUAAAGAGCGUCACCGUGGAAACCAGGCCGGGCCAAACCAAUGCAGAUUUCAAGAAGAGCCGAGAUGGUUUCAUCCUGCUCGUCCCCGCUAACUAACAGUACGUCCGACCAAAACACCAACAACAGGACCUCGACUACACCACUGCAGCUCUGCGUUUGGGGAACUGGUCGCUCAAACUUUGUCUUGAAAAGCAACCGUUUACUAGCAAAGAUGGUUUAAAUACUUUAAAUAUUAAGUGUUCACCCAGAGCAGUGAAAUUCAGAAAGAUUCUUAUGUCGCUGUAGACACUCAGGACACACCUAUGAUACUUUCUUUGUUUUUAAUGUUGCAUAAGAUAUUUGAAGAUAUUUUCUUAAGACAAGAUGGAACAAAACAGAAAUAAAUGCACUUUUGAUAUCACAAGUUGAAAAUUACAAUGCAA